GAAAGUGAAGAAAAUACACUUUGGGAUGAAAAUUGUGACAAAGGCAAUGAGAUCAUCACCCCCACUGAGAACUUUUUGCCACACAAUCAUGACAGGAGUCAACCUACAAUUGAUAAUUUUGAGAAUGAUGUUCUAGCUAAAUACCAUCAGGCAAAGGGAGGGGAACCAAGGGAGGCCAAUCAACUAGUGAAAGAUUUAUCUGGAAACAGAGAGACAGAUGAGCGAGGCCUGAAGGCUUGGAAAAUUGGAGCUAUUUUUGCUGCAGUCUUUCUGGUUUUGGAGACAGCUGUCAUCAUUCUCUAUAUCAUUAAAUGUCAAAACAGAAAAAGGAUAGUCACACUCAAGCAGUCACAUGCAGCUUCAACCACACCCAGAAACAGAGAGCAGCAAGAG